CCGGCUGUUCCAUCAGCCGUAACCUAAGGGUACAUGCAUGGUUGGUAACGACCAUGUGUGAAGCCACCCUGACAAUGUAACCUGCUC
rfam:Candidatus Burkholderia brachyanthoides strain TZHbot7 BRCHctg519, whole genome shotgun sequence.